GUUGCAUCAAGCCUGUGCAAACUACAAACAACAGAACAGUUGCUCACAUUUCUUUUGUUCACAAAGGUCUUUUUGUUCCUCUAAAUGUAAGCAUUCUACUGUAUGGAGGUCUUUGAGACAAUUCUGGUGCAUCAGAAUAAGACGUGGGAUGAAGCCCUGAACUACUGCAGACAAAACUACAUUGACAUGAUACCAAGUUACCCAAUUCAGCACAGUAUUCACAGCACUCAAGGAACCAAAGAAGAAACCAAAGAAGAAUCCCCACCACCUCACCAGUGCCAGUCACAAUCAUGGAGGAGACCCUGCAGCUGCCAUGGAAUCCGGAGGGAAUAUGGAAGAGAGAGAAAGAAAAAAAAAAAAAACCUUUUGGGGACUUAAGAGUAAUUUUUAUGACCAUAAUUGAGUACUAUAUAUAGUGUUACAAUUUGACAAUGUGUUACUUUAAAUGCUAAAAGUAAUUUUAAUUCAAAUACAUUGGACGUUUUAACCAAGUCAGUGGAAUUGUCAGUGUGAUAGCGUGCCUUCUCCGGUUUAAAUUUGAAGCUACAAUAGAAAUAUGCUGUUUUGAAUGAAUGUUUUUUAUGUCUAUAUAAAGUGGUUGCAUAUUGUUAAAACAAGUCAUGGUAGUGAUAUCUUUGUAGCACUGACGACUCUAUAAAUCAGUGGCAAAGUAAAGCAAAUGUCCGGCGAAUAUCGUACCUAAAACUAACUUUGCAGCGCUAGAAAAGCUAUUAUUGCGGUGCCCGGGAGGUGACAUGGUAGGUUCACUAAGUUUUGUCAUGGCCACGACAUAAUAAAUUGUGGGAAACUGAUAAUAUGUCGUGGCCA
ensembl:lncRNA